rnacentral:rRNA from 1 species
CUUGGCGGCAAUAGCGCGGUGGUCCCACCUGACCCCAUGCCGAACUCAGAAGUGAAACGCCGUAGCGCCGAUGGUAGUGAUGCCGAACUCAGAAGUGAAACGCCGUAGCGCCGAUGGUAGUGUGGGGUCUCCCCAUGCGAGAGUAGGACACUGCCAAGC